AUUGAACGCUGGCGGCAGGCCUAACACAUGCAAGUCGGGCGAUCGGAGGACGGGCGAGUAAUGUAUGGAGACCUGCCUGAUGGAGGGGGCUCAAUACUGGAAACGGUAGCUCAUACCGCAUCCCAUCAGAUGAACCCAUAUGAGCUUAGCGUGUAGGUAAGGUAACGGCUUACCUAGGCGACGUUCCCUAGCUGGUCUGAGAGGAUGAUCAGCCACACUGGGACUGAGACACGGCCCAGACUCCUACGGGAGGCAGCAGUGGGGAAUAUUGCACAAUGGGCGCAAGCCUGAUGCAGCCAUGCCGCGUGUAUGAAGAAGGCCUUCGGGUUGUAAAGUACGUUCAGUCGGGAGGCGUUACCGACAGAAGAAGCACCGGCUAACUCCGUGCCAGCAGCCGCGGUAAUAC
rnacentral:rRNA from 1 species